CCUACGGGUGGCAGCAGUGGGGAAUAUUGGGCAAUGGGCGCAAGCCUGACCCAGCAACGCCGCGUGAAGGAAGAAGGCUUUCGGGUUGUAAACUUCUUUUGUUAGGGAAGAGUAGAAGACGGUACCUGACGAAUAAGCCACGGCUAACUACGGGCCAGCAGCCGCGGUAAUACGUAGGUGGCAAGCGUUGUCCGGAUUUACUGGGUGUAAAGGGCGGGUAGCCGGGUUGACAAGUCAGAUGUGAAAUCCUGCGGCUUAACCGCAGAACUGCAUUUGAAACUGUUGAUCUUGAGUACAGGAGAGGCAGGUGGAAUUCCUAGUGUAGCGGUGAAAUGCGUAGAUAUUAGGAGGAACACCAGUGGCGAAGGCGGUCUGCUGGACAGCAACUGACGGUGAGGCGCGAAAGCGUGGGGAGCAAACAGGAUUAGAUACCCUAGUAGUC
rnacentral:rRNA from 1 species